rnacentral:lncRNA from 1 species
CGCCUGCCCAGCUGUCAAAACAGGGGGGUGUCCCUUUCAUUCCACCUCACAUACUACGAAAGGAGAUGGGAGGGAGGAGGGCUUUAACGCUCGUGUUUGGACACAAGCAAUUAUCCCUAAUUAUUGUUUUUCUUUUCAGUUUCCCUGUCCCGAUGGAGGUCUGACGAGACGAACAUGCAAUAAUCCGCUCCAGUCGUCCAGAAUCAGCGGGCCUUCGGAGUCCAGGCUCGGUCCUGGGACUCUGUGGCUUUCAUCUCAAUAUAACCACCUCAGUACCCUGAAUGUUCCUGAACGAAGGCCCCAGAUGUGCGCCAUAUGCAGAUUUGUAGUCGUGGACGGUGGGAACAUGUUGGAGUGAAUGGCUGGUGAGGGAAAUUCACAUAGCCUACAUGGAAACACAUCACAUUUCUGGCAUGGUGAUUCUUGAAAUGGCUAAUUAGGCUACAGCAGCUGGCAAAGGAGAAACCUGGCAGCAGGGGUGGCCAUACAUAGUCGAGCAGUUCAGUCAGUUUUAGGGAUCGCCUCGGUUUCGGUUUCUGUGGGUUCCACAAGCCUGACUGGAGAAAAAUCACUUGUUGGUGUUUGAGGUGCAAGACAUCAACAUCUGAAGGAUGCUAAAAGAAGAGUUUGUUCUUUUUCCUGGUAAUAAAUUGUCGUAAAUCAAUUUUGAUUCUACUGGU